rnacentral:lncRNA from 1 species
UAGACUUUUUCUGGAUGUACUCAGAUUUAUUUCAUGUUUCAAUAUAUUCGGAACCGUUGUUUUAUAUGUUGUAGCAAAAUAUUUUAUGGGAUAAUUUAAUUGUGUUCCAGCCUUUUAAAAGAUUAAAUUAUUUUCGAUCUACUUGGUGAAUGAGAUGAAGGAAAAAAACAAACCCCCCGCGCCGCGUCGACCGGGACCGACCUUGUUCGCCGCCGGCGCCUUCUCGCGCGGCACCUGAUUCCCACCGGCCGCCGCGCUAGGCUUGGCGAGUGCGCGUCGCCCGUCGGCGCCGGCGGCGGCUUCCGCCCGCCCGGACUACCGCAUCCUCCUGCCCUCUCCUGGGACGACGAGUCUCUCUUCCUGUUCCGGUGUCCCGGCGUGUUCCGGGCCUUCGACCCGGUGGGUGGGUCAUCGUGCAGGCCGCGCCUCUCCCCUGGAGCAGCAGAGCUUGACAUGGAUGGGAACAUGACUUCUUGGAAUGGCAAUGACAGAUGGAAUUACUUCUUAAGGGCUUCCAGAAACAAUUCAAUGCUCUGGAGAAUAAAAAGUAUUUUCGUUCUAUGAUCUCUUUGGUUGUGGCUAUUUUUGGAGAAUGAGCUACAGCUGGUGGACUUCUUUCAAAGGUGCCACAUACGAAGAGGAAGUCAGGAAGGAACAAAGUUUACUUCAUGCCCCUUAUUUGGUAAACAGAGCCUCUCAGUUGGUUUCAUCCUACUGCAUACCAGUGCGAGUCUUGUGACUGAGCUCAUGACGCAGUUGAUUUCUCCCAAUGUGUUCUCAAUUGAUAGCAGAUGGGGGUCAACAAUAUCGAUCAGUCGUGCUGGAUAUGCCAUUUCUGCAUACUUCUGCAAUGUCAAUCCAUCAGUAAACAUGUCAUUUGUAGGCGCCUUCCCUGUAAACAUCUCAAGGAGCACUAUACCAAAGCUAUAUACAUCACCAGAUGGAGAAAUUUGACCACAUUCAGCAUAUUCUGCAGUGCAUAAACAUGAUAAUUAAGUAUUGCAUGGCUCAAACCAUAAGAUUUGUUGAAAAAAAGUAUUGAGUACCU